GACGAACGCUGGCGGCGUGCCUAAUACAUGCAAGUAGAACGCUGAAGAGAGGAGCUUGCUCUUCUUGGAUGAGUUGCGAACGGGUGAGUAACGCGUAGGUAACCUGCCUUGUAGCGGGGGAUAACUAUUGGAAACGAUAGCUAAUACCGCAUAACAAUGGAUGACACAUGUCAUUUAUUUGAAAGGGGCAAUUGCUCCACUACAAGAUGGACCUGCGUUGUAUUAGCUAGUAGGUGAGGUAAUGGCUCACCUAGGCGACGAUACAUAGCCGACCUGAGAGGGUGAUCGGCCACACUGGGACUGAGACACGGCCCAGACUCCUACGGGAGGCAGCAGUAGGGAAUCUUCGGCAAUGGGGGCAACCCUGACCGAGCAACGCCGCGUGAGUGAAGAAGGUUUUCGGAUCGUAAAGCUCUGUUGUAAGUCAAGAACGGGUGUGAGAGUGGAAAGUUCACACUGUGACGGUAGCUUACCAGAAAGGGACGGCUAACUACGUGCCAGCAGCCGCGGUAAUACGUAGGUCCCGAGCGUUGUCCGGAUUUAUUGGGCGUAAAGCGAGCGCAGGCGGUUUGAUAAGUCUGAAGUUAAAGGCUGUGGCUCAACCAUAGUUCGCUUUGGAAACUGUCAAACUUGAGUGCAGAAGGGGAGAGUGGAAUUCCAUGUGUAGCGGUGAAAUGCGUAGAUAUAUGGAGGAACACCGGUGGCGGAAGCGGCUCUCUGGUCUGUAACUGACGCUGAGGCUCGAAAGCGUGGGGAGCGAACAGGAUUAGAUACCCUGGUAGUCCACGCCGUAAACGAUGAGUGCUAGGUGUUGGAUCCUUUCCGGGAUUCAGUGCCGCAGCUAACGCAUUAAGCACUCCGCCUGGGGAGUACGACCGCAAGGUUGAAACUCAAAGGAAUUGACGGGGGCCCGCACAAGCGGUGGAGCAUGUGGUUUAAUUCGAAGCAACGCGAAGAACCUUACCAGGUCUUGACAUCCCGAUGCUAUUUCUAGAGAUAGAAAGUUACUUCGGUACAUCGGUGACAGGUGGUGCAUGGUUGUCGUCAGCUCGUGUCGUGAGAUGUUGGGUUAAGUCCCGCAACGAGCGCAACCCCUAUUGUUAGUUGCCAUCAUUCAGUUGGGCACUCUAGCGAGACUGCCGGUAAUAAACCGGAGGAAGGUGGGGAUGACGUCAAAUCAUCAUGCCCCUUAUGACGUGGGCUACACACGUGCUACAAUGGUUGGUACAACGAGUUGCGAGUCGGUGACGGCGAGCUAAUCUCUUAAAGCCAAUCUCAGUUCGGAUUGUAGGCUGCAACUCGCCUACAUGAAGUCGGAAUCGCUAGUAAUCGCGGAUCAGCACGCCGCGGUGAAUACGUUCCCGGGCCU
rnacentral:rRNA from 1 species